rnacentral:tRNA from 1 species
GCUGAUAUAGCUCAGUCGGUAGAGCACCUCAUUGGUAAUGAGGAGGUCAUCAGUUCGAAUCUGAUUAUCAGCUCCA